rnacentral:rRNA from 1 species
AACGAACGCUGGCGGCAUGCCUAACACAUGCAAGUCGAACGAGACCUUCGGGUCUAGUGGCGCACGGGUGCGUAACGCGUGGGAACCUGCCCUUAGGUUCGGAAUAACUCCCCGAAAGGGGUGCUAAUACCGGAUAAUGUCUUCGGACCAAAGAUUUAUCGCCUUUGGAUGGGCCCGCGUUGGAUUAGCUAGUUGGUAGGGUAAAAGCCUACCAAGGCGACGAUCCAUAGCUGGUCUGAGAGGAUGAUCAGCCACACUGGGACUGAGACACGGCCCAGACUCCUACGGGAGGCAGCAGUGGGGAAUAUUGGACAAUGGGCGAAAGCCUGAUCCAGCAAUGCCGCGUGAGUGAUGAAGGCCUUAGGGUUGUAAAGCUCUUUUACCCGGGAUGAUAAUGACAGUACCGGGAGAAUAGGCUCCGGCUAACUCCGU